rnacentral:rRNA from 1 species
AGAGUUUGAUCAUGGCUCAGAUUGAACGCUGGCGGCAGGCCUAACACAUGCAAGUCGAACGGUAGCACAGAGAGCUUGCUCUCGGGUGACGAGUGGCGGACGGGUGAGUAAUGUCUGGGAAACUGCCUGAUGGAGGGGGAUAACUACUGGAAACGGUGGCUAAUACCGCAUAACGUCGCAAGACCAAAGAGGGGGACCUUCGGGCCUCUUGCCAUCAGAUGUGCCCAGAUGGGAUUAGCUAGUUGGUGAGGUAACGGCUCACCAAGGCGACGAUCCCUAGCUGGUCUGAGAGGAUGACCAGCCACACUGGAACUGAGACACGGUCCAGACUCCUACGGGAGGCAGCAGUGGGGAAUAUUGCACAAUGGGCGCAAGCCUGAUGCAUACUGGGCGUAAAGCGCACGCAGGCGGUCUGUCAAGUCGGAUGUGAAAUCCCCGGGCUCAACCUGGGAACUGCAUUCGAAACUGGCAGGCUUGAGUCUUGUAGAGGGGGGUAGAAUUCCAGGUGUAGCGGUGAAAUGCGUAGAGAUCUGGAGGAAUACCGGUGGCGAAGGCGGCCCCCUGGACAAAGACUGACGCUCAGGUGCGAAAGCGUGGGGAGCAAACAGGAUUAGAUACCCUGGUAGUCCACGCCGUAAACGAUGUCUACUUGGAGGUUGUGCCCUUGAGGCGUGGCUUCCGGAGCUAACGCGUUAAGUAGACCGCCUGGGGAGUACGGCCGCAAGGUUAAAACUCAAAUGAAUUGACGGGGGCCCGCACAAGCGGUGGAGCAUGUGGUUUAAUUCGAUGCAACGCGAAGAACCUUACCUGGUCUUGACAUCCACAGAACUUUCCAGAGAUGGAUUGGUGCCUUCGGGAACUGUGAGACAGGUGCUGCAUGGCUGUCGUCAGCUCGUGUUGUGAAAUGUUGGGUUAAGUCCCGCAACGAGCGCAACCCUUAUCCUUUGUUGCCAGCGAUUAGGUCGGGAACUCAAAGGAGACUGCCAGUGAUAAACUGGAGGAAGGUGGGGAUGACGUCAAGUCAUCAUGGCCCUUACGACCAGGGCUACACACGUGCUACAAUGGCGCAUACAAAGAGAAGCGACCUCGCGAGAGCAAGCGGACCUCAUAAAGUGCGUCGUAGUCCGGAUUGGAGUCUGCAACUCGACUCCAUGAAGUCGGAAUCGCUAGUAAUCGUGGAUCAGAAUGCCACGGUGAAUACGUUCCCGGGCCUUGUACACACCGCCCGUCACACCAUGGGAGUGGGUUGCAAAAGAAGUAGGUAGCUUAACCUUCGGGAGGGCGCUUACCACUUUGUGAUUCAUGACUGGGGUGAAGUCGUAACAAGGUAACCGUAGGGGAACCUGCGGUUG